GAUGAACGCUGGCGGCGUGCUUAACACAUGCAAGUCGAACGGAAAGGCUCCUGCUUGCAGGGGUACUCGAGUGGCGAACGGGUGAGUAACACGUGGGUGAUCUGCCCUGCACUUCGGGAUAAGCCUGGGAAACUGGGUCUAAUACCGGAUAGGACGAUGGUUUGGAUGCCAUUGUGGAAAGUUUUUUCGGUGUGGGAUGAGCUCGCGGCCUAUCAGCUUGUUGGUGGGGUAAUGGCCUACCAAGGCGUCGACGGGUAGCCGGCCUGAGAGGGUGUACGGCCACAUUGGGACUGAGAUACGGCCCAGACUCCUACGGGAGGCAGCAGUGGGGAAUAUUACACAAUGGGCGCAAGCCUGAUGCAGCGACGCCGCGUGGGGGAUGACGGCCUUCGGGUUGUAAACUCCUUUCGCUAGGGACGAAGCGCAAGUGACGGUACCUGGAGAAGAAGCACCGGCUAACUACGUG
rnacentral:rRNA from 1 species